rnacentral:rRNA from 1 species
UACGGAGGGUGCAAGCGUUAUCCGGAUUCACUGGGUUUAAAGGGUGCGUAGGUGGGAAUGUAAGUCAGUGGUGAAAUCUCCGUGCUUAACAUGGAAACUGCCAUUGAUACUAUGUUUCUUGAAUUUUCUGGAGGUAAGCGGAAUAUGUCAUGUAGCGGUGAAAUGCUUAGAUAUGACAUAGAACACCAAUUGCGAAGGCAGCUUACUACAGGGAUAUUGACACUGAGGCACGAAAGCGUGGGGAU